rnacentral:rRNA from 1 species
GGUUAAGCGACUAAGCGUACACGGUGGAUGCCCUGGCAGUCAGAGGCGAUGAAGGACGUGCUAAUCUGCGAAAAGCGUCGGUAAGGUGAUAUGAACCGUUACAGCCGGCGAUGUCCGAAUGGGGAAACCCAGUGUGAUUCGUCACACUAUCGUUAACUGAAUACAUAGGUUAACGAGGCGAACCGGGGGAACUGAAACAUCUAAGUACCCCGAGGAAAAGAAAUCAACCGAGAUUCCCCCAGUAGCGGCGAGCGAACGGGGAGCAGCCCAGAGUCUGAAUCAGCUUGUGUGUUAGUGGAACGGUCUGGAAAGUCCGACGGUACAGGGUGAUAGUCCCGUACACCAAAAUGCACAGGCUGUGAACUCGAAGAGUAGGGCGGGACACGUGGUAUCCUGUCUGAAUAUGGGGGGACCAUCCUCCAAGGCUAAAUACUCCUGACUGACCGAUAGUGAACCAGUACCGUGAGGGAAAGGCGAAAAGAACCCCGGCGAGGGGAGUGAAAAAGAACCUGAAACCGUGUACGUACAAGCAGUGGGAGCACCUUCGGGUGUGACUGCGUACCUUUUGUAUAAUGGGUCAGCGACUUAUAUUCUGUAGCAAGGUUAACCGUAUAGGGGAGCCGCAGGGAAACCGAGUCUUAACUGGGCGUUAAGUUGCAGGGUAUAGACCCGAAACCCGGUGAUCUAGCCAUGGGCAGGUUGAAGGUUGGGUAACACUAACUGGAGGACCGAACCGACUAAUGUUGAAAAAUUAGCGGAUGACUUGUGGCUGGGGGUGAAAGGCCAAUCAAACCGGGAGAUAGCUGGUUCUCCCCGAAAGCUAUUUAGGUAGCGCCUCGUGAAUUCAUCUUCGGGGGUAGAGCACUGUUUCGGCUAGGGGGUCAUCCCGACUUACCAACCCGAUGCAAACUACGAAUACCGAAGAAUGUUAUCACGGGAGACACACGGCGGGUGCUAACGUCCGUCGUGAAGAGGGAAACAACCCAGACCGCCAGCUAAGGUCCCAAAGUCACAGUUAAGUGGGAAACGAUGUGGGAAGGCACAGACAGCCAGGAUGUUGGCUUAGAAGCAGCCAUCAUUUAAAGAAAGCGUAAUAGCUCACUGGUCGAGUCGGCCUGCGCGGAAGAUGUAACGGGGCUAAACUGUGCACCGAAGCUGCGGCAGCGACACUAUGUGUUGUUGGGUAGGGGAGCGUUCUGUAAGCCUGCGAAGGUGGCCUGUGAGGGUUGCUGGAGGUAUCAGAAGUGCGAAUGCUGACAUAAGUAACGAUAAUGCGGGUGAAAAGCCCGCACGCCGGAAGACCAAGGGUUCCUGUCCAACGUUAAUCGGGGCAGGGUGAGUCGACCCCUAAGGCGAGGCCGAAAGGCGUAGUCGAUGGGAAACAGGUUAAUAUUCCUGUACUUGGUGUUACUGCGAAGGGGGGACGGAGAAGGCUAUGUUAGCCGGGCGACGGUUGUCCCGGUUUAAGCAUGUAGGCGGAGGU